rnacentral:rRNA from 1 species
GACGGAGGAUGCAAGCGUUAUCCGGAAUUACUGGGCGUAAAGCGUCUGUAGGUGGUUUUAUAAGUCCGCUGUUAAAACUUGAAGCUUAACUUCAAAGAUGCCGUGGAAACUUUUAAACUUGAGGAUGAUAGGGGUAGAGGGAAUUUCCAGUGGAGCGGUGAAAUGCGUAGAUAUUGGAAAGACCACCAAUGGCGAAGGCACUCUACUGGGCCAUUACUGACACUGAGAGACGAAAGCUAGGGGAGCGGAUGGG